UACGUAGGGGGCAAGCGUUGUCCGGAUUUAUUGGGCGUAAAGAGCGUGUAGGCGGCCAUACAGGUCAGCUGUGAAAACUCGAGGCUCAACCUCGAGACGUCGGUUGAAACCGUAUGGCUAGAGUCCGGAAGAGGAGAGUGGAAUUCCCGGGUGUAGCGGUGAAAUGCGCAGAUAUCGGGAAGAACACCCGUGGCGAAGGCGGCUCUCGUGGGACGGUACUGACGCGUGAGACGCGAAAGCGUGGGGAGCGAACGAGG
rnacentral:rRNA from 1 species